rnacentral:rRNA from 1 species
AGCGAACGCUGGCGGCAGGCCUAACACAUGCAAGUCGAACGAAGUCUUCGGACUUAGUGGCGGACGGGUGAGUAACACGUGGGAACAUGCCUUUAGGUUCGGAAUAACUCAGGGAAACUUGUGCUAAUACCGAAUGUGCCCUUCGGGGGAAAGAUUUAUCGCCUUUAGAGCGGCCCGCGUCUGAUUAGCUAGUUGGUGAGGUAAAGACUCACCAAGGCUACGAUCAGUAGCUGGUCUGAGAGGAUAACCAGCCACAUUGGGACUGAGACACGGCCCAAACUCCUACGGGAGGCAGCAGUGGGGAAUCUUGCGCAAUGGGCGAAAGCUUGACGCAGCCAUGCCGCGUGGAUGAUGAAGGUCUUAGGAUUGUAAAAUCCUUUCACCGGUGAAGAUAAUGACUGUAGCCGGAGAAGAAGCCCCGGCUAACUUCGUGCCAGCAGCCGCGGUAAAAC